rnacentral:rRNA from 1 species
CAGUAGCCGCGGGAAUACGUAGGGUGCGAGCGUUAAUCGGAAUUACUGGGCGUAAAGCGUGCGUAGGCGGUUCGUUAAGUCUGUUGUGAAAGCCCCGGGCUCAACCUGGGAAUGGCAAUGGAUACUGGCGAGCUAGAGUGUGUCAGAGGAUGGUGGAAUUCCCGGUGUAGCGGUGAAAUGCGUAGAGAUCGGGAGGAACAUCAGUGGCGAAGGCGGCCAUCUGGGACAACACUGACGCUGAGGCACGAAAGCUAGGGGAGCAAAUGGGAUUAGAUACCCCCGUAGUCCCUGUCUCUUAUAA